GGAAAAUGAGUCUGAUAGGUCUUGCCAGACCAAGCACUUCACGAGUGAACUGCAGGCAAUUGAAUCACGUCUUGCCGCAAGUGUUCAAGAAAUGACACAACUGACAAAAUCAACUACUGUCAGAGUUGAUAAGUAAAAUAACAUGGAAGAGCAUCACACUUCAGCACAAGCAAAUCCAGCUUCAACUAGAGAGGACAAGGAUAACUGGGAAAGCUCUCAUGGAACUAAAGAAGGCCAGACAGAAGUCGAAAACUCAAUUAUCAUUGGAGCAGAGAAGAAUGAAAACAAGUCUCCUCAAAUGGAAGAAGGUCAGACAUCAUCAUCCCUUGCUUCUCCAUCCUUAACGGAAUUAUACUAACUUGCCUUAUUACCUUCAACACUGUUUGAAGUAUUGCCGUGCCUUCCUCGAGAAUUACUGGAUACCUAAAGGAAGGUUAAUACGAUUGUUAGUGGCAGACGGCCUUUUACAAAAGAAGGCAGGGAUAUUAGGGGAAGAUAUAGCAGAAGAAAAUACUAACCGUGAUCAACCUGGGAAUGCUCCAAGCAAAGAAACAAUCAAUAUAGAGACCAAGCAACUACUUUGACUGUCUCUUCUCCUUAUUGACGCAAGAUGGAGGAAGAUAAUUUGAUUGCUGCAUGUAGCCAGUCAGAUUCAAGUAAUCUCCAU
rnacentral:lncRNA from 1 species